UUGGUGAUCAGGGCUCGUCGGGGGAGCUACUUAGGAGAGUGUUGGAGCUCCCACCGGCGCGGGAUCAUUAAGCUAAGACUCCAAGUGAAACGAGGGACCAGAAGGGCAGCACGCACAGGGUGUGCAGUAACACAACAGCGGGGAGCACGAGCACGAGCACAGACGUCGGAGGGAAGCACGCACAUGGGGUUCGAGGGAGCAACGGGGAGUUAUUGUGUUUACAGCUUUCCACUGUAAAUAAAGAGCACUGUUUGCAUCGCA